rnacentral:rRNA from 1 species
CCUACGGGUAGCAGCAGUAGGGAAUCUUCCACAAUGGGCGAAAGCCUGAUGGAGCAACGCCGCGUGGGUGAAGAAGGUCUUCGGAUCGUAAAACCCUGUUGUUAGAGAAGAAAGUGCGUGAGAGUAACUGUUCACGUUUCGACGGUAUCUAACCAGAAAGCCACGGCUAACUACGUGCCAGCAGCCGCGGUAAUACGUAGGUGGCAAGCGUUAUCCGGAUUUAUUGGGCGUAAAGGGAACGCAGGCGGUCUUUUAAGUGUGAUGUGAAAGGCUUCGGGUUAACCGGAGUAGUGCAGGGGAAACUGGGAGACUUGAGUGCAGAAGAGGAGAGUGGAAAUCCAUGUGUAGCGGUGGAAUGCGGAGAUAUAGGGAAGAACCCCAGUGGCGAAAGCGGCGCUCUGGUCUGUAACUGACGCUGAGGUUCGAAAGCGUGGGUAGCAAACAGGAUUAGAUACCCCAGUAGUC